CGCGUAGGUGGUUGUGUAAGUCAGAUGUGAAAUCCCCCGGCUCAACCGGGGAACUGCAUUUGAUACUGCAUGACUAGAGUACAGGAGAGGGAAACGGAAUUCCCGGUGUAGAGGUGAAAUUCGUAGAUAUCGGGAGGAACACCGGUGGCGAAGGCGGUUUCCUGGCCUGAUACUGACGCUGAGGCGCGAAAGCGUGGGUAGCAAACAGGAUUAGAUACCCUGGUAGUCCACGCUGUAAACGGUGAGUACUGGGUGUGGGAGGUGUAAUGCCUUCUGUGCCGAAGCUAACGCGUUAAGUACUCCGCCUGGGGAGUACGGCCGCAAGGUUGAA
rnacentral:rRNA from 1 species